UACGGAGGGUGCAAGCGUUAUCCGGAUUCACUGGGUUUAAAGGGUGCGUAGGUGGGUCUGUAAGUCCGUGGUGAAAUCUCCGAGCUUAACUUGGAAACUGCCAUGGAUACUAUAGAUCUUGAAUACUGUGGAGGUUAGCGGAAUAGUGUCAUGUAGCGGUGAAAUGCUUAGAUAUGACAUAGAACACCAAUUGCGAAGGCAGCUGGCUACACAAAUAUUGACACUGAUGCACGAAAGCGUGGGGAUCAAACAGG
rnacentral:rRNA from 1 species